rnacentral:rRNA from 1 species
AACGCUAGCUACAGGCUUAACACAUGCAAGUCGAGGGGCAUCAGUGUAGCAAUACCGCUGGCGACCGGCGCACGGGUGAGUAACACGUAUCCAACCUACCGUUAACUCGGGGAUAGCCUUUCGAAAGAAAGAUUAAUACCCGAUAGUAUAUUUUCUUCGCAUGUUGAAAAUAUUAAAGAAUUUCGGUUAUCGAUGGGGAUGCGUUCCAUUAGGCAGUUGGCGGGGUAACGGCCCACCAAACCUACGAUGGAUAGGGGUUCUGAGAGGAAGGUCCCCCACAUUGGAACUGAGACACGGUCCAAACUCCUACGGGAGGCAGCAGUGAGGAAUAUUGGUCAAUGGACGAAGGUCUGAACCAGCCAAGUAGCGUGAAGGAUGACUGCCCUAUGGGUUGUAAACUUCUUUUAUAUGGGAAUAAAGUUCUCCACGUGUGGAGUUUUGUAUGUACCAUUAUGAAUAAGCAUCGGCUAACUCCGUGCCAGCAGCCGCGGUAAUACGGAGGAUGCGAGCGUUAUCCGGAUUUAUUGGGUUUAAAGGGAGCGUAGGUGGACUGGUAAGUCAGUUGUGAAAGUUUGCGGCUCAACCGUAAAAUUGCAGUUGAUACUGUCAGUCUUGAGUACAGUAGAGGUGGGCGGAAUUCGUGGUGUAGCGGUGAAAUGCUUAGAUAUCACGAAGAACUCCGAUUG